GGAGAGGUGGCAGAGUGGUCGAUCGCGCCUGACUCGAAAUCAGGUGUGCCGAAAGGUACCGGGGGUUCGAAUCCCUCCCUCUCCGCCA
rnacentral:tRNA from 1 species